UACAGAGGGUGCGAGCGUUAAUCGGAAUUACUGGGCGUAAAGCGCACGUAGGUGGCGACGUAAGUCGGGUGUGAAAGCCCCGGGCUCAACCUGGGAAUUGCAUUCGAGACUGCAUUGUUGGAGUACGGAAGAGGAGGGCGGAAUUCCCGGUGUAGCGGUGAAAUGCGUAGAUAUCGGGAGGAACAUCAGUGGCGAAGGCGGCCCUCUGGUCCAGUACUGACACUCAAGUGCGAAAGCGUGGGGAGCAAACAGG
rnacentral:rRNA from 1 species